AGGUGCGAUCAUAUCAGCACUAAUGCAUUGGAUCCUAUCAAAACUCCGAACUUAAGCGUGCUUGGGUGAGCAUAGUACUAAAACGGGCUUUGUCACAGGACUUCCAUAGACACAGGUA
rnacentral:rRNA from 1 species